rnacentral:tRNA from 1 species
GCCUGGGUGGCGCAGUGGUUAAGCGUCUGCCUUCGGCUCAGGGCGUGAUCCCCACGUUGUGGGUUCGAGCCCCACAUCAGGCU